ACCACUUUCUCACACUGUCACUGUCAAUACUGACAUCAUUACUCUAGUCCAAUCAUCUUCUCGCCUGCCUUCUUUGAGCCAAUUAGUCUUCUCAAGUUUUAAAUAUGAGCUCUUCAUCAUUCUCCCUUAAAAAGUGUCUUUCAUGCAACACACCUCCUCCUCAUCUCCACCACUUUUCAGCAGAUGCAUCAUUACACUGAAGACAGUUCAUUGCUAACAUGGAUGUGGCAGUUUUUUAUCUGUAUCUGUCAUUUCUUAUUCACUCUGGUCUGACUGUUAUUGUUCUUCAGUCUAAAGAUCAAAUGUCUGACCAAGGGAGAACAGAGAUGCUGGAGUGCAAAAUGGGUUCAGGGUUCAGCAUGAGCAGCUACACCAUGUUCUGGUACAGACAGAACCACCACAGAGCUCCAAUCGAGUUCCUUAUGAGGGAAUACGAGAAACCUGUGGGACGCUUAGAGUCAUUUAUCGAUACAUCCAAAAACAACUUCUCUCUACAAAUAACUGAGCUGCAUAUCAAUGACAGCAGCACCUACUACUGUGCUGCCAGUCACAGUGAUACACACAGACCAGACACUCAUACACAUAACCAGCGUGUUUGUCACAGAUGGCGUAAAGCAGGAAGGAGCUGUGGCUUGUUUGGUUCUGAAUGUCCUGGUGGAAAUAUAAGACAGAACAUCUUCAGAUCUGUGUAGAAUUAGGCAAACGUGCUGGCAC